rnacentral:rRNA from 1 species
UACAGGGGGUGCAAACGUUGCUCGGAAUUAUUGGGCGUAAAGCGCGCGUAGGCGGCUACUUAAGUCGGAUGUGAAAGCCCUUGGCUCAACUGAGGAAGUGCACCCGAAACUGAGUGGCUAGAGUACGAAAGAGGGUCGCGGAAUUCCCGGUGUAGAGGUGAAAUUCGUAGAUAUCGGGAGGAACACCGGUGGCGAAGGCGGCAUCCUGGACCGGCAUUGACGCUGAGGCGCGAAAGCCAGGGGAGCAAACGGG